rnacentral:rRNA from 1 species
GUGAGGAAUUUUCCGCAAUGGGCGAAAGCCUGACGGAGCAAUGCCGCGUGAAGGAUGAAGGCCUAUGGGUUGUAAACUUCUUUUCUUAGAGAAGAAUAUUGACGGUAUCUGAGGAAUAAGCAUCGGCUAACUCCGUGCCAGCAGCCGCGGUAAUACGGAGGAUCCAAGCGUUAUCCGGAAUCAUUGGGUUUAAAGGGUCCGUAGGCGGCCUUAUAAGUCAGUGGUGAAAUCUCCUAGCUCAACUAGGAAACUGCCAUUGAUACUGUAGGGCUUGAAUUAUUGUGAAGUAACUAGAAUAUGUAGUGUAGCGGUGAAAUGCUUAGAUAUUACAUGGAAUACCAAUUGCGAAGGCAGGUUACUAACAAUAUAUUGACGCUGAUGGACGAAAGCGUGGGUAGCGAACAGGAUUAGAAACCCGGGUAGUCC